UUGGGAGAACGUUUCACCUGCAAAUCAUUUACGUCGAAUCAAUCGUUAUAAAUAAAGACAGAUGUGUAAAAAAGAGAUUGUUAUCUUAAGUAAUAGAAAAAGAACAGAAAAUAAUUUUACAAGAAAAAUUGUGAAACAAUGUUCUUUGCACCAAAUUAAUUCUUAUUGAUAAAUAUUCUUAACGACAAAAAUAGGAAAAAACAUAUUUGCCAACUUUCAGAAUUUUUUAAUUAGUAUCUAAUUUCAAAUUGUAAAGAUAAGGAGGGGAAAAAGAAACGAAAGUAAUUCAUUUCCUCGUAGCUUAUAACCAUCUUGAUUCUUUCCAUAUAUUGAUUAAUCUACCCCAAUUGUAACAACCCUGUGCAGAGGGCGCCCUCGUGGUCGCUCGGUUAACAACCCCAAGCGAUGUGCGCUGUACAUAUACCGCCGUUCGGCGGACGGCGAAUAAGCUGCAUGUCAUUCCUUCGGUGGUUAUCGAACUAGUAAUACGCGAGCGAGUGUGGUACAACAAAUAUUCGUUCGUGCAUACUUCAUACGUUUCAGAGAUCCGUUAUACAAGUAAUUCAGGCGGUGGAAACAAUUUCUUCAUUCUUACUAGUCAUUUGCUUAUACUAUCAAUGUAAAGUAAAUUUGUUGGUAGUCAUGAGUUUUUGAUUUAUUAUAAAAUUUCAAGUAUACCUUAUGGAAAUGAAAGUAUUUUCGUGAUCAAUACUAUCUAAACUAUUGUUUGCUGCAUUUCGGAAAAGAAAUAUACUAAACUAACCGAAGACGAAAGCAGUUCCAAUAGCUUGGAUGUAUUGCAAAGGAGCCGAACUGACUUAUAUUUGAAUUGUAAUUCCAAAGAAGAACAACGCUCCACCAGAUAAUAAAACAUUGCACAUCCGAAGUGAAACACAUUUCCGUUGACACUUUCUGUUCCUCCGUACAUCCGACGAUACGUCUUGCAUGGAUAGUACAAAUGCCAGACCAUCAACGAGAUUAAUAUAUGGAAACAUUUUCCUUUUUACAUUUAUGUUUAAAUGGAAAAUCAAUCAAUGCUGUGUUUAUUUAAUGGUAAGAUGUUUUAGAGAUUAUAUGCAGUCGAAGAAAGUAUUAUUAUUUAUAAGUGAAUUUAUCUCAAAUAUUCUAAAUGGUAUGAAUCCCAAAUUGGAGUAAUUAUCCGGUAACUUCUAUAAUAUGGAAAUGGAAUUUUCUAAUAAAUCUUAUACAAAUAUAGUGCUAAAUUUAAAGAAUAUUAAUGGAAUAAUAGAAUGAUCAGUGAUAAAGGGUGUUUCAAUCGUUUCUCUUAUUUGUAAAGCUGUUGUUUGGCACGUAUGAUAGCUAGGGAUUAUUUCGCGUAUGAGACGCACUUGCGUAUUACUGGGUCGAAAAUCACGGAAGGAAUGACUUAACCUAGUUUUAUUAGUCCCAUGUUAGCAGGAUAGAAGACCAAGCUUCGUAAAAUCUAAUUCCCUAACUAGAACGCAUGGGGAUAAAUAAUUUCCCCUCUCCUAUAGUUAUGUAAUUAUAUGUAUAUAUAUUCUAUGUUCACGCGAAAUGAUCUGUGUAAUAUAUCUUGGAAUUUCCUAAUGAGAAUCUUACAAUAAUUCGUCUAUUUUUUAAUUGAAAUAAUCAUAUAAAACUGUAAUUAUUUAUGAUAUAAUUAACUAUUAUAAUAAUAAUUAUUGUAAUUAUCAAGACUAAUUAAUCGAAUAUUCAUAUAGGAAAUUCGUACUGUUACUUCUUUCGUAAGUCUACCUUAUACUUACUAGUUAUAUUUAAUAGAUUAAAUGUUUAUUUAUUGGAAAAGAGAUUGGAUUACAAUCUCGCUAAGUAGAUACAUGUCGAAGAACUUUAAACGGAAAUGAAAGUAGCAAAUUUUCUUACUGUAAAUAAGAAAUUAUUCUUCGAAGAAAAUGUACAUUGGAUUAAAUUUUUUUCGAAUUUAAGUUUACCGUAAUAUAUCGAAGUAAAGAACGAACAUUUUCUUAUAAAGACAAAUACAUGGCAGUAUACACUCCUUAAAUGGGGAUUAUAUGGAAGUUUAUCUCAAUUAGCUGUUAUACUACAUUUAUAUACACAUACUAUGUGUGCUUAAUGAGUACCGUAACUUCAUAAUACAUAUCAUAAUACUUUCGCUAUAAUUUGAUAUAUUUCAAUCGUAUAACUACCGAAAAUAAAUAAGAUGAAGCCUUUUAAAUGCUACAGCAACUAUUCCUAAACGCAACAAAAUAAUAAUUAAAAUGCUAUGAAUCAAGAGAAUCAAUUUCAUUUCUAUGAUAUAGAAAUGAAAUUUUCUACUGAAUCUAAUCGUGUUUAAACCGUUAGUAUUAUUUGUAAAGCUGUUCUUUGGUACGUAUGACAACUAGGGAUUAUUUCGCGUAUGAGACACACUUGCUGGGUCGGAAAAUCCCAUGUCGUCACGUUAGAAGACCAAGCAUUCUAGAUUCUAAUCCUCUAACUAGAACGCAUGGGGAUAAAUAUUUCCCCUCUCCUAUAGUUACGUAAUUAUAUUUGUAUCUUUAUGUAAAUAUUGUACUCUAUGUCUUUCGUUACAUUUAUGGUUUCCUAAUAUUACCUUCCCCUCUUUCCCGUGUUUCCCCACCGAGAGAACCACUGAGUUAGUUAAUAAAGAAAUGGUCAAAUAAACAAAUUAUAUAAAAAGUAUAUCAGUCGAUUUUACGAAGAAGUUCGUUCACAAUGGUCUGAAAGCUUCUUUCAACCACUUAAAGAGAGUUUAUACAAUUUGAGACUACCAAGCUUUUAAUUACCCAUUUCUUUUUCAUUAAGAGAAUGGCAAAAUUUCCAAACAUGAGUUAGUUUCGUGUCAUAAGUAAUAUCGAAGGAGAAUUUUGGAUUCAAGACAAAUAUUAAUACAGACAUGUUAGAAAAAAAAAUAUUAAUCGGGAAAAAAUAUAAAAAAUAUAAAACGACAGCAGUAAUACUGAUGUCAUGUAAUAAUAAAACGGAAAGACCUCACACAUAAUGCGAGGGAUGAUAAUGUUGGAAAAGAAUUGAUUCAACAUUUAUCGCACAUAUCAUAGAAAAUUAUAAUGGACAAAACUGUGAUUUUUUUUUGCAAAACUAUAUGAUCCUCCUUGUCUACAAAUUUCCUUGUUAAUGGGUAUCGAUCGGCAUUUAACGAUUUGCUCGUUGAGGAUUACCUUCUCUCCUACCUUUCGUCCAGCACCAUCAUAUUGAACGAUUUAUUACUACCUCUCUCCGUGCCCAUGCGCGUUUACGUGCUCCAGUCAAGUGGACGGAAAUGAGUGUGCGUGUUGCGUACAUCUCCACUCAUAUUUUGAAAACAAGGAUGGUAUUUUUUCAUUAGUUCUCCUCUCAUCAAACCAAGCAGAAUGCGAUAAUACGAUUAGCGGUAUAACUCAAUUAUCUAUUUAGCUGUAUGAUUUAAUUUGUCUUUUGCUGAUCGAUAUACCACGGCUGAUAUGAUUCUUCCAUAUGAACGGGUAAAUUGUUCUAGAAAGUUACUCCCUAUUGGAGAAUGCAAAACAAUAAUCCCAUUAUACUUCUAAUUACCCAAUAUUUCGUAUAUCAUGUUCCAAAUCAAUUGGUUCCUAAGAAUAUAGGCUAUUGCCAUAUUCAAGCAAGCGUGCUAUCAAACAAUGAAGCUAAAUAGGCAACUGAAUAAUACAGCCAAUCUCCUAUUGUUCGCUUGGUCUGAUGACAGGAAAAUAAAUGAAAAAAUACUUUCCUUAUUGUCAAAAUAAGACAGGAGUUCUACGUACACACGCACACUCAAUGCCAACCACUCGACCUUACGCGGAUAGACGCGCACCAGAGCACACGUACAUGGAGAGAGAUAAUGGAGAAAGGUUUAAACGAAGGUACUUGACGAUAAAUAUGGGAGAACGUAUUACGGACAUCCACUAUAACGAAAUUCCUUUCAUAACAUACUAAAUGGGUAAUUAGCGCUACGCACCCAAUUAUUUCGUCCAAAUUUCAAUAUUUAAGAAAAACGCUAAUUAAAUAUUACGAAUAUCUUUUAAGUAUAUGUUGCGAAUGUUACGGCAAACAGUUUGAAAUAUAGAAUUCAAUACUUCUCCCAUUUAA